GUAGGCACCCGGGUGCCGCGGUGCUUCAUUACCUACGUACGCGGGUGCCGCGGAGCUUCAUUACCUACGUACGCGGGUGCCGCGGUGCUUCAUUACGUACGCACGCGGGUGCCGCCGUGCUUCCUUACGUACGUACGCGGGUGCCGCCGUGCUUCCUUACGUACGUACGCGGGUGCCGCCGUGCUUCGUUACGCGGGCAUCCUGGUGCCGCGGUGCUUCGUUAGGCAAGCAGGCGGGUGCCGCGGUGCUUCGUUACCUAGGAAGAUACAACUUGAGGAGCCAGAUGCAGCGGCUCACUCCUGUAAUCCCAGCGUUUUGGGAGGCCGAGUUCAAGUGAAGAUAUAGGCGUGCCUCUUGGUUCAAGAUGCCCACAUAACCUACGUAUGGUCAACCUCUGUGUCCAGCUUCUGAGACGGACGCUCCCUGGGAGACCUGGAAGGAUGUGAUCAAACACAUGCAAACUACAGGGGCUGAUAGUGAGAAAAGGUGGUUUUCAGAGGAAAAUCUUCAGUGUUAACAGACAAAGAGGGAGUGAUGGAUGAACAGGCAAAACCAGCAGCUGUCUGGUGUACUGUGACUUAUAACUUUUACCUGGGCUGAUAAAUAAAUAAUGGCUGGAGUCAUUAUGAGUGACAGCAUUCUUGUUCUGCAGACACUAUAAAUCUGGAUAAAAUAAGCAAUUCUCUGCUGAGAUGAUAGAAGAAUCUAUCUUCCGUCACUUUGCCAACACAGUGAGAAUAGUGGACUCUGAAUUCUUGAUUUUUCUGGCUGCAUCGUGAAGAGUAUUUCCCGAAACCAUCAAUGAAGAUGUACAGAAACAGUAGGAAAAUGUGGGAUAGGGAAAUCAACGUAGGAUGGUCCUCUUCGUCCCAGAUAUGAUCAGUGUUCCUGCUGUGAGAAGUGUCUUCUUCACUAACCUUUUAAAAUACGUUCUUAAUAUUAUGGAUGAUUGAAAUUUUAAUGUUUUUUAUUAUUUAACUCACAAAAAAUGUGAAUAUAAUCUCUAGAGGAGAGGGAAUUGGCCAAAUAUUAUACUAAGAAGUGUGGCUAAUUUAUUCUGUAACUUGGCCAUGAACAAUAUAUGGGAAUAAAUGAAUAACUCAAAUAGAAGACUUUCUAUCGGUCCGGGAAAACAGAAGGAAUUUGAGUAUUAAUCUUUGGUCUGCUGCCAGUCUGCUGCAUCAGGAACUAUUUUUGAUACAUGAGAAUGAUGGAAAAAUUGAGAGUUCUCUUGACUUUACCCCCAGUUCCUAUAAAAAAGACAGUUAAACCACCAAAAGCUGUUUAAGAAAAUAUUUGCUGUCUCAUUGCCAGAUUAACAAUUAAAAGUUCCUAUCUAUUCAUAACGUCAAAGAGAAGAUGAAUGGAAGCAAUAGUGUUGUCAGCCGCAGCAGAAUCUGUAUAUCUGCAUAUUAGGACAGUAGCUGCAUGUCACCAAUACCCCAGCCAUGCCUUUUUUUUUUUUUUUUUUU